rnacentral:rRNA from 1 species
CCUACGGGUGGCAGCAGUAGGGAAUCUUGCGCAAUGGGCGAAAGCCUGACGCAGCAACGCCGCGUGAGUGAGACGCCCUUCGGGGUGUAAAGAUCUGUCAGUGGGGACGAAACUUGACGGUACCCACAGAGGAAGCACCGGCUAACUCCGUGCCAGCAGCGGCGGUAAUAAGGGGGGUGCAAACGUUGUCCGGAAUCAUGGGGCGUAAAGAGUUCGUAGGAGGCACGUAAAGUCUGGGGUUAAAGGUAGAGGUUCAACUUCUGUACGGCACUGGAUACUUGCGAGCUAGAAUGCGGUAGAGGUAGAGGGAUUUCCUGGUGUGGCGGUGAAAUGCU